AGUGGUUGCAGGAGCCCAGAGGCUCAGGAAGAAGCCCAGAUGUAUUCCAGGGAGGGGGUAAAAUGUGUGCAAUUUGAAGUGUGUUUGCAGGGGGGAAGGAUGAUGAAAGUCAGCAGUUAAACCCAAAGGAACAAGUGUGAGCUCUGAGCCCAGGACAACCUCCAAGUGCUUCUCUGGGUCAUUUUUUAUGAUGUUCCAAAUGUUUUGGUGAUUCUACGAUCCCAUCUGAGAUGUUUGCUCAGGACAACCCAUGACUCUGUUCAACAAACAGCAAAUGAUCCUCGUGCCACUCAGCCACCAACAGCUACAAUGCAACGCUUGAUCUGCUUUUUGCAAGGGAGCUCUGUGAGUAAUGUAGCUAAAGGACAGCGGGGAAAGGAGCAAACCCCAAGUGAGAGCAAGGUCUUGCUGCAGGAGGUCAAGGAGCAGAAUUACAUCAACUCCCUUUUCUUCCUGUCCACGUCAGUCUCCUGAGCUUCAGACACUGUUUUUGCCAAGGCUGUUGAAAACUGGAAAGGGCCUGAACUUGGCAAAGCUCUGAAGUUUCUGCAAAAGCCUGAAGUCACUCUGAGGCAUUCAACAUGGUGCGGGGACAUCUCCUCCCUCUGCUCCCAGAGACGGUGUGUGUGACUUCCCAGGCCAUGUCUUCCCAUGGGCUCCCCAAUUUUGCUCAUCUCAGUGCUGUGGAGGAGGGAUGGGACAGAAGGCAGAACAGCAUUCUGCUGCUGGAGGGUACAGUGGAGACCCGUCUGCACCUCUGUAGGUAUUCAAGACAAUCUUGGAGCUCCUACAUGACAUGAUGGAAGUGGCAGCAGGACUGAGACACCAUGUCAUCACCAACAGAACUUCACAUUUCAUCUGUUACACCUUAAAAAGAAAAAGGAAUGAAAACCAUAAAGGAGGCAGACUGGGGCAGCAGGACAGAUGGAAAUAACCAGCAGUGACUGUGUGGCUUCGGCUCUCUCUUUCCCUGAGGUAAGAGUGACACAAAUCUAAGCUUUUCUGCAAAAGCCAUCAGCUCUGAGUAUUCCUCAAGCUCUUCAGCUCUCAUCACUUUGACACCUUGGGAAAGGUAAAUAGUUCAGUACUUAUUAACUCAUCAGCAUUGAUGCAUCUCCCUUCCUUCUGUUAGAGCAGGAGCAGAGCAGCUCCAGGAGCAACCACUCCCCGGGUGUGACAAACAGUGCCAAAAUAGUGUAAAGUUCAUCACGUGUUGUACAAACAUCAAAUAAAGCGUUGUUCCCCAUUCUAAGGUGCUUACAGUCAAAAUACAUACACAAGCAGUGACCGCACAUGGGUGUGUGCUAGGGACCUACUGAAGAACCAGGAAGAUGUGGACAGAACUGUCUGAGAGCUGACACCUGUGCUAUGUUUCUUCCUCAGCAAGGCAUCAUUUCCAAAGGCACAUGGCUAAGAUGGAAUUAUUGGCCCAAACCCAAGAGGACCAGCCCAGAGCAGCAUGCUUCAGUGACGGCAGAGCCUGCUUCAGUCAGGCAGUGCCAUAGUGUUAUGCACAAAGCUGAAACAUUUUGAUGGAAGAAAUAAAGGUGAUUGCACCCAUUAGUGCAGGCAGAGCACACCUGUAAUACUUCCUCAUCAGCUGCCACUGACAAAGAGGAAUAAGUUCUUUAGCCCCCCCAGAAAUACUACAUCUGUUUUUACAAGAAUUCUUUCAUUUUAAUUUCCAGGUGAAGUUAUUAUUAUUAUCCACUGAAACAAUCUCUUUUCAU
rnacentral:lncRNA from 7 species